AGAAUCAACGCUGGCGGCGUGCCUAACACAUGCAAGUCGAACGAGAAAGUGGAGCAAUCCAUGAGUAAAGUGGCGACCGGGUGAGUAACACGUGACUAACCUACCCUAGAGUGGGGGAAUAACUUCGGGAAACCGAGGCUAAUACCGCAUAACAUCGCAGAGGGAAGAUCUUUGCGAUCAAAGGAGCAAUUCGCUCAAGGAGGGGGUCGCGGCUGAUUAGUUAGUUGGUAGGGUAACGGCCUACCAAGACAAAGAUCAGUAUCCGGCCUGAGAGGGCGCACGGACACACUGGAACUGAAACACGGUCCAGACUCCUACGGGAGGCAGCAGUGGGGAAUUUUGCGCAAUGGACGAAAGUCUGAUGCAGCAACGCCGCGUGGGGGAUGAAGCUUCUCGGAGUGUAAACCCCUUUCGACCCGGAAGAAUGCCCGCAAGGGUAUGACGGUACGGGUAUAAGAAGCCCCGGCUAACUACGCGCCAGCAGCCGCGGUAA
rnacentral:rRNA from 1 species